UCUGAUAUUUCGAAUUACUUGGUAGAGAAGAUACUCUCUAGGGCUCCCAUAACUUGUCUCGGAGCGGUGAGAACCACAUGCAAACGAUGGAACGCUUUAUCCAAAGAAAAUACUUUAUGUAAUGGAGAAGCAAGACAUCAGUUUCUGGGGUUUAUGACGAAAAAGUAUAAGCUUUGUUCAAUGAGGUUCAGAUCUCAAUGGAAAAUAUAACGAAGGAGGAGGUGACGAUUUCGUGGAUCCAAC
rnacentral:sRNA from 1 species